rnacentral:rRNA from 1 species
UACGUAGGGGGCGAGCGUUGUCCGGAUUUAUUGGGCGUAGAGAGCUCGUAGGCGGUUUGGCAAGUCGGGUGUGAAAACUCCGGGCUCAACUCGGAGACGCCACUCGAUACUGCCAUGACUCGAGUCCGGUAGGGGAGUGCGGAAUUCCUGGUGUAGCGGUGAAAUGCGCAGAUAUCAGGAGGAACACCGGUGGCGAAGGCGGCACUCUGGGCCGGUACUGACGCUGAGACGCGAAAGCGUGGGGAGCGAACAGG